rnacentral:rRNA from 1 species
UACGGAAGGCAGCAGUGGGGAAUAUUGCACAAUGGGCGAAAGCCUGAUGCAGCUAUGCCGCGUGUAUGAAGAAGGCCUUAGGGUUGUAAAGUACUUUUCAUCGGGGAGGAAAAACAAAACUAAUAAUUUUAUUUCUUGACGUUACCCGAAAAAGAAGCACCGGCUAACUCCGUGCCAGCAGCCGCGGUAAUACGGAGGGUGCUAGCGUUAAUCAGAAUUACUGGGCGUAAAGAGCACGUAGGUGGUUUUUUUAAGUCAGAUGUGAAAUCCCUGGGCUUAACCUAGGAACUGCAUUUUGAAACUGAAAUACUAGAGUAUCGUAGAGGGAGGUAGAAUUCUAGGUGUAGCGGUGAAAUGCGUAGAUAUCUGGAGGAAUCCUGUGGCGAAAGCGGCCUCCUAAACGAAUACUGACACUGAGGUGCGAAAGCGUGGGGAGCAAACAGGGAUUAGAUACC